UACGUAGGGUACAAGCGUUAAUCGGAAUUACUGGGCGUAAAGGGUGCGCAGGCGGUCAUGUAAGUCAGAUGUGAAAUCCCCGGGCUUAACCUGGGAAUUGCGUUUGAAACUACAUGACUAGAGUGCAGUAGAGGGAGGUGGAAUUCCAUGUGUAGCAGUGAAAUGCGUAGAUAUAUGGAGGAACAUCGAUGGCGAAGGCAGCCUCCUGGACUGACACUGACGCUCAUGCACGAAAGCGUGGGGAGCAAAC
rnacentral:rRNA from 1 species